CCCGACUCAAAUCGGAAGUGGACUCCACGGAUAAUUGUAUCACAAAAUAGCUAUUUAACAUGUCAUUUUAAUGCUAUUUUUCCAAGAUAUAUAUAUAUAUAUAUAUAUAU